rnacentral:rRNA from 1 species
GACGAACGCUGGCGGCGCGCCUAACACAUGCAAGUCGAGCGAGAACCUGGGCUUCGGCCCAGGGGAAAGCGGCGAACGGGUGAGUAACACGUGGGUAACCUGCCCUCGGCACCGGGAUAGCCCGGGGAAACCCGGAUUAAUACCGGACGGCCUCGCGGACCUUCGGGCCCGUGAGCAAAGGUGGCUUCGGCUUCCGGCUGAGGAUGGGCCCGCGGCCGAUUAGCUUGUUGGUGGGGUAGCGGCCCACCAAGGCUACGAUCGGUAGCUGGUCUGAGAGGACGAUCAGCCACACUGGGACUGAGACACGGCCCAGACUCCUACGGGAGGCAGCAGUGGGGAAUCUUGCGCAAUGGGCGAAAGCCUGACGCAGCGACGCCGCGUGCGGGAAGAAGGCCUUCGGGUUGUAAACCGCUUUCAGGAGGGACGAAGCCACUCGGGUUUAUAGCCUAGAGGGUGACGGUACCUCCAGAAGAAGCCCCGGCUAACUACGUGCCAGCCGCCGCAGUAACAC